GGACGAACGCUGGCGGCGCGCCUAACACAUGCAAGUCGAACGGGGCCUUUUAAGAAGCUUGCUUCUUGGCUGGAUCCAGUGGCGGACGGGUGAGUAACACGUGGGCAACCUACCCUAGAGUGGGGGAAUAACGUCUGGAAACGGACGCUAAUACCGCAUAAUAUCGAGAGUCGGCAUCGUCUUUCGAUCAAAGGAUUUAUUCGCUUUAGGAUGGGCUCGCGCCUGAUUAGAUAGUUGGUGAGGUAAUGGCUCACCAAGUCUACGAUCAGUAGCCGGACUGAGAGGUUGAUCGGCCACAUUGGGACUGAGACACGGCCCAGACUCCUACGGGAGGCAGCAGUGGGGAAUAUUGCACAAUGGGGGAAACCCUGAUGCAGCGACGCCGCGUGAGUGAAGACGGCCUUCGGGUUGUAAAGCUCUGUUGAGGGGGACGAUAAUGACGGUACCCCUCUAGAAAGCCACGGCUAACUACGUGCCAGCAGCCGC
rnacentral:rRNA from 1 species